AAAUAGAAAAUUGUGGAUCCGUGGGAACGCAGAGCAGGAAUGCGUGGCUGGAAGGAAUCUCCCAGGAAUUCACAGUUCACCCCUAAAUCAAUCCGUGGGGCCCGAGGGGCAAAGUGUCUGAGUGACCCAGCCCUCAGUCUUGUGUCCGUUCCUGAGAAGGAGGUCAGCCUUGCCCCUCAGGAGCUGCAUGUACCAAAUACCACAGAUGGAGGCGUGACACAGACUGUCUGCUGCAGGGGCCAUGGACGGAGGCAGCCUCUGAGCCAGCCCAGCAGCCAUGGACGGAGGAGCCUUGGAGCCAGCCCAGCAGCUCUCCUCACUGGAGGGGUGGAUGGGACAGGACCGGCUGCUCAUUCCACGCUGGAGGGAGGCCAGGAGUCUCAGCUGGAUGCAGUCACCUGACCUGGAGAGUUCAAAGUGCCUAACACAGGGACGCUGGUACCCACAAGCCUGGAUCCUGGCGUGCUCUGCUGCUUUCCUUCAAGCCCUGGCCUCAUCAGACCUCCAAGGCUCCCUAGACAGGGUUAAUUAUUCACGUGGCCCGGGACCCAGGGUUCGUUUGUUUGUUUUUCCCGACACAGUAGAGUCCACGAGGAAGUCAGGAUCCACCGGCAAUAUUUGCAGUGUUAUGUUGAAUGUGGCAACUGGCUGCGUGACGAUAGAGAAGUAAACAGCAUGUCCGGUGGCAGUCGGUUACCACACAGAAUUUAGGAGGCCCAGUGAAAUGCGAAUGCUAGGUAAGUGACACAUAAGUUUUUGAUAUAAGUAUAUCCCAGGCAACAUUUAUUUAUUGGAAAUUGAAACAUUUAACUGGCCAUAUUUUUUUUUUUAAUUUUUUUGUUUUCUAAAUCUAUCUUUUGUUUGCUGAAUUUCUAGCAACCUUAGAUGGAGAGGUGGCUCUGAGACUAGCAUCCCCACAGGCUCACCUCUGGCUGGAGAGACAAAGGGAGGUGGGGUGCUGCCAGGGAGGGAGAGCCAAGGUCUACUUCCAUGCCGCUCCCAGACGUGGGGCCAGAGGCCCGCUUGCUGGGGUUGGGGCUCAGAGGGGAGCGAGCGGCUGCUGUCAUGCUGUCUGAAAAUGCUGUGCGGAUUCCCCGAUUUUCUCUCGCCUGGCAGGUCACCUGGCCCACAGUCUCCUCCCCUGAUCCCCUGAGUGCUCCCCUCCCCCUGCAGGUCCCCCUCCCCUCUGGGUGCCUGGAUGCCAGCACCCUGUUCCGCCCGCCCAGCAUGCAGACCAAAAGCACAACGCACAGAAACACAGCCGGUGCCCAGCAUGCAGACCAAAAGCACAACGCACAGAAACACAGCCGGUGCGCGCAGGGCGGCAGGCUGGCUUCUCCCUCCCUCCUGCCGAGGUCUCCGCCCCCUUCCCCCUUCCCUCCUUCCCUCCCCUCUCCUCUUCUAUUAGAAAAUGGGAGUGUUAGGGUUGAAUUGUGUCCCCCCAAAACAGGUAUGUUGGGGUCCUGAUUCCCAGUCCCCUAGAAUGUGACCGUGCUUGGAGAUAAGACCUUUACAGAGUAACUGAUUAAAAUGAGGUCAUUAGCAGGGACCCUAGUGCAGUAUGACCGGUGUCCUUUCAAAAAGGAGAAAUUUGGAUACAGACAUAGACACACACUGAGGGAAGGUGAAGUAAAGGGGCAGGGAGAAGACGGCCUGCGACAGGAGUGACGCCCUUACAAGCCGAGGGACGCCUGGCAGUGCCAGCUGACACCAGGAGCAGGGAGAGGCCUGGAACGGUUCUCCCUGGAGACAUCCGGGACACACCUUGAUUUCAGGAUUCCAUGAUAGCUUCCAGAACUGCCAAAGAACGCAUUUCUGUGUUUUCAGCCACCCAGUCUGUGGUAUCUUGUGAUACCUGCCGCCCUAGGAAAGUAAAACAAGGAGUUAAUUCAUGAAGGGUGGGGGAAAUACAUACCCUUUGAAAUACCACCUAGAGGAAGGGGUAAUAGUACACCCGAUCAUGUGCUCCAGUUUAUGAAAUAGUUGCACGUCACUCGGAAUUUUGAAAAACAAUAUAUUUUCAGGACUC
rnacentral:lncRNA from 1 species